AGCGAACGCUGGCGGCAGGCUUAACACAUGCAAGUCGAACGGGCGUAGCAAUACGUCAGUGGCAGACGGGUGAGUAACGCGUGGGAACGUACCUUUUGGUUCGGAACAACCCAGGGAAACUUGGGCUAAUACCGGAUAAGCCCUUACGGGGAAAGAUUUAUCGCCGAAAGAUCGGCCCGCGUCUGAUUAGCUAGUUGGUGUGGUAACGGCGCACCAAGGCGACGAUCAGUAGCUGGUCUGAGAGGAUGAUCAGCCACAUUGGGACUGAGACACGGCCCAAACUCCUACGGGAGGCAGCAGUGGGGAAUAUUGGACAAUGGGCGCAAGCCUGAUCCAGCCAUGCCGCGUGAGUGAUGAAGGCCCUAGGGUUGUAAAGCUCUUUUGUGCGGGAAGAUAAUGACGGUACCGCAAGAAUAAGCCCCGGCUAACUUCGUGCCAGCAGCCGCAGUAAG
rnacentral:rRNA from 1 species